ensembl:lncRNA
GUAUGGUAUUAACUGACCCUGUAUAUAGUAUGGUAUUAACUGACCCUGUAUAUAGUAUGGUAUUAACUGCCCCUGUAUAUAGUAUGGUAUUAACUGCCCCUGUAUAUAGUAUGGUAUUAACUGACCCUGUAUAUAGUAUGGUAUUAACUGACCCUGUAUAUAGUAUGGUAUUAACUGACCCUGUAUAUGGUAUUAACUGACCCUGUAUAUGGUAUUAACUGACCCUGUAUAUAGUAUGGUAUUAACUGACCCUGUAUAUAGUAUGGUAUUAACUGACCCUGUAUAUAGUAUGGUAUUAACUGACCCUGUAUAUAGUAUGGUAUUAACUGCCCCUGUAUAUAGUAUGGUAUUAACUGACCCUGUAUAUAGUAUGGUAUUAACUGACCCUGUAUAUAGUAUGGUAUUAACUGACCCUGUAUAUAGUAUUAACUGACCCUGUAUAUAGUAUGGUAUUAACUGACCCUGUAUAUAGUAUGGUAUUAACGGACCCUGUAUAUAGUAUGGUAUUAACGGACCCUGUUUAUAGUAUGGUAUUAACUGACCCUGUAUAUAGUAUGGUACUAACUGACCCUGUAUAUAGUAUGGUAUUAACUGACCCUGUAUAUAGUAUGGUACUAACUGACCCUGUAUAUAGUAUGGUAUUAACUGACCCUGUAUAUAGUAUGGUACUAACUGACCCUGUAUAUAGUGU